GUCCCUGUAGCGCAAUGCAUAGUGCGUUGGAUCUCCAGUUCAAAGGUUGUGGGUUCGAAUCCCACCCGGGAUG